UACGUAGGGUGCGAGCGUUGUCCGGAAUUAUUGGGCGUAAAGGGCUCGUAGGCGGUUUGUCGCGUCGGGAGUGAAAUCCACUGGCUUAACUGGUGGCUUGCUUUCGAUACGGGCAGACUGGAGGUAUGCAGGGGGAGAACGGAAUUCCUGGUGUAGCGGUGAAAUGCGCAGAUAUCAGGAGGAACACCGGUGGCGAAGGCGGAUCUCUGGGCCAGUACUGACGCUGAGGAGCGAAAGCGUGGGUAGCAAACAGG
rnacentral:rRNA from 1 species